UUACAAAAACAUGGCUUUAUGAAAGUUAUACUAAAGUCUGGCCUGCCCACUGAUUUUUAAAGGGCCGCGGUAUUUUGACCGUGCGAAGGUAGCAUAAUCAAUAGUCUUUUAAUUGAAGGCUGGAAUGAAUGGUCGGACAAAAUACAAGCUGUCUAAAAUUUAUAUUUUGAAUUUUACUUUUAAGUGAAAAGGCUUAAAUUAUUUAAAGUGACGAUAAGACCCUAUAAAGCUUUAUAUUAGUAAGAUUGAUUUUAUAUAUAAGGUGUAAAUUUAAUUUUUCUUAAGAUAUUGCAUUGGGGCGAUGUAAAUUUAAUAGAUAACAGUUGUUAAUUAAAAAUAAAUGAUAUUUAGAAAAGGAGAUCCUUUAUAAAGAUUAUAAGAAAAAGUUACUUUAGGGAUAACAGCGUGAUUUUUUCAGAGAGUUCAUAUCGAUGAAAGUAGUUGCGACCUCGAUGUUGAAUUAAGAUUUCUUUAAGGUGUAGCCGCUUUAAUUGUAGGUCUGUUCGACCUUAAAAUCUACAUAUUUGAGUUCAAACCGGCGUGAGCCAGGUUGUUUUCUAUCUUA
rnacentral:rRNA from 1 species